rnacentral:lncRNA from 1 species
GGAUGUACUUAUUCAUCAAUAUACUUGGGCUGCUUUGUGUCAUUCCUGUAUGAACAUCUAUUGCAUUUUUCAAAAGUUUGUCACAAACUGAUAAAGUUAAAACACAAGAGAAAAAUGAAUUUGCCUGAUUCUGUUACUCUGUGAAGAAUAUACCAGGAAGAUUUUGCUGGAGGUAUCAGGGUUUGUUUCAAAUUUCCUGGUGAAACAUCUCAACACGAAGCCCUCUGCCUGUUCUGUUACUUUUACAUUCGGUAAUAGAGCCUAACUCUGCCUUCAGAUGUGAAGAACUAGUGUUUCCUCACAAAAA